GUUCAUGUAAAAGACGGCUUUUGCUGUCACUUUUGGAUGGGCCUGCGGCGUAUUAACUUGUUGGUGGGGUAACGGCCUACCAAGGUGAUGAUACGUAGCCGAACUGAGAGGUUGAUCGGCCACAUUGGGACUGAAACACGGCCCAAACUCCUACGGGAGGCAGCAGUAGGGAAUCUUCCACAAUGGACGAAAGUCUGAUGGAGCAACGCCGCGUGAAUGAAGAAGGCCUUCGGGUCGUAAAAUUCUGUUGUCAGAAAAGAACGUGCGUGAGAGUAACUGUUCACGUAUUGACGGUAUCUGACCAGAAAGCCACGGCUAACUACGUGCCAGCAGCCGCGGUAAUACGUAGGUGGCGAGCGUUGUCCGGAUUUAUUGGGCGUAAAGGGAACG
rnacentral:rRNA from 1 species